AAUCAUUGACAAUAGGCGAAAGCCUGAUCCAGCCAUGCCCCGUGCGUGUAGAAGGUCUUCGUAUUGUAAAGCACCUUACGUCAGGAGGAAGGGCCGUAGGCUAAUUCCCUCCUGUUUUGACGUUACCUACAGACUAAGCCCCGGCUAACUUCGUCCCCGAAGCCGCGGUAAUACGACGGGUGCAAGCAUUAAUCGGCAUUAUUGGGCUUAAAGCGCGCGUAGGUGGUUUGUUAAGUUGGAAGUGAAAACCCCGGGCUCAACCUGGGAACUGCUUUAAAAACUGGCAAGCUAGAGUAUGGCAGAGGGUGGUGGAAUUUCCUGUGUAGCGGUGAAAUGCGUAGAUAUAGGAAGGAACACCAGUGGCGAAGGCGACCACCUGGGCUAAUACUGACACUGAGGUGCGAAAGCGUGGGGAGCAACC
rnacentral:rRNA from 1 species